AGUGAACGCUGGCGGUAGGCCUAACACAUGCAAGUCGAACGGCAGCACAGUAAGAGCUUGCUCUUACGGGUGGCGAGUGGCGGACGGGUGAGGAAUACAUCGGAAUCUACUUUUUCGUGGGGGAUAACGUAGGGAAACUUACGCUAAUACCGCAUACGACCUACGGGUGAAAGCAGGGGAUCUUCGGACCUUGCGCGAUUGAAUGAGCCGAUGUCGGAUUAGCUAGUUGGCGGGGUAAAGGCCCACCAAGGCGACGAUCCGUAGCUGGUCUGAGAGGAUGAUCAGCCACACUGGAAAUGAGACACGGUCCAGACUCCUACGGGAGGCAGCAGUGGGGAAUAUUGGACAAUGGGCGCAAGCCUGAUCCAGCCAUACUGCGUGGGUGAAGAAGGCCUUCGGGUUGUAAAGCCCUUUUGUUGGGAAAGAAAAGCAGCAGGUUAAUACCCCGCUGUUCUGACGGUACCCAAAGAAUAAGCACCGGCUAACUUCGU
rnacentral:rRNA from 1 species